rnacentral:rRNA from 1 species
GACGAACGCUGGCGGCGUGCUUAACACAUGCAAGUCGAACGAUGAAGCCGGAGCUUGCUCUGGUGAAUUAGUGGCGAACGGGUGAGUAACACGUGAGUAACCUGCCCUUGACUCUGGGAUAACUGCGGGAAACUGUAGCUAAUACCGGAUACGACCCUCGGAGGCAUCUCCUGGGGGUGGAAAGAAUUUCGGUCAAGGAUGGACUCGCGGCCUAUCAGCUAGUUGGUGAGGUAAAGGCUCACCAAGGCGACGACGGGUAGCCGGCCUGAGAGGGUGAGCGGCCACACUGCGACGGUGACACGGGCCAGACGCCUACGGGAGGCAGCAGUGGGUAAUAUUGCACAAUGGGCGCAAGCCUGAUGCAGCAACGCCGCGUGAGGGAUGACGGCCUUCGGGUUGUAAACCUCUUUUAGUAGGGAAGAAGCGAAAGUGACGGUACCUGCAGAAAAAGCACCGGCUAACUACGUGCCAGCAGCCGCGGUAA